CUGGAACCAAAACUCUUCAAAAGCAAUUUACAAAUCUCUUUAUUCUAGCAAAGGAUCAACAUAGCGCCAUUGUAAGCUUCAUAAGAAAGAGGAAUUGGUUGGAGAACUUUAGAGAGCCAUUGAAUAACAUUGUAACAAUAGAAUUUCACGAACUGUCUACGAUUCUUAGAAAUGUUCAGCUAAUCAAAGAUAGAUUUUAUUGGUGUAUAUUAUCCGACCACAUCAUUAUCUGGACACGUGGCAGC
rnacentral:lncRNA from 1 species